UAUUGGGUUGGUGCAAAAGUAAUUGCAGUUUUUACCAUUACUUUCAAUUGGAAAGCAAUUACUUUUGCACCAACCUAAUAUU
rnacentral:miRNA from 1 species